AAAAAUAAUCAUCUUAUCUUUUGAGUACAUCAAAUUACCAAAGAGAUGGACAAUCUAGUCCCUGUUUUGGCCUGGACACAAUCAACGGGGGCUUGGCCAAACAGUGGGUUUGAACAGUGCAUUGAUCAUACUGUCUCAAACAUGAACUUCUUGCAAAGAGAGGCCAGUUAACUGGCUAUUCAAAAACUGACUUUAUUAUCAUGUGGAUUAAAUGCAGCUA
rnacentral:misc_RNA from 1 species